UUCUCGCUGCUCCACCGCGCCGCCAUCUCCGCACGCGGCGCCCCGGCUUCUGGACUGUGCGUUCCCACCCCCAAACCUGCGUUCCUGGGCUCGGUGAGACCCACGCAGUCCGCGAGAACGCCCCCUCCACUGCCGUCACUGGACUUGAGUGACCCGCGCUCCCGCAGCUGCAGGCACACGCCCCCUGCCGCAAGCUCUACCGGGAGUCGUAGUCCAAAGUCCUUGCGUGAACAGAGAUAAGAAGGAUCACCUUGCCGUCUGGAACGUUGGAUGCAGUGGGGAAGACAGACUUAUCAACAACUCAGGGUGAGGAACUUGCCCGGGGAUCCCUUCAGUCCAGACAAAGUGGGAGAGUUGCUCACAGCUCAACAGGUUCCGGGAGGAGAGGGACCAGAUCUGUUUUGUUCAGUCUUGUAUGGUGACUACACAAAGAGGACACUGCAUAUUUGUCCAAUGCGUGGGAAAGGUAUAUGGAGUCACACCCCUAGAAGGCUAUGUCAAAAGGAUGCCUUCCGUGAAACUGAAACCAAAAGUAAUUUC